UACCUAGCAGCUCUAGUGGUGGCCGCUAUUAUUGGGCCUAAAACGUCCGUAGCCGGUUUAAUAAAUGCCUGGGUAAAUCGUGUAGCUUAACUAUACGAAUUCCGGGUAGACUGUUAAGCUUGAGAUCGGGAGAAGUUAGAGGUACUCCUGGGGUAGAGGUGAAAUUCUGUAAUCCUAGGGGGACCACCAGUGGCGAAGGCGUCUGACCAGAACGGGUCUGACGGUGAGGGACGAAGCCCUGGGGCGCAAACCGGAUUAGAUACCCGGGUAGUCCAGGGUGUAAACGCUGCUUGCUUGAUGUUAGUCGGGCUCCGAGCCCGAUUAGUGUCGGAGAGAAGUUGUUAAGCAAGCUGCCUGGGAAGUACGGUCGCAAGUCUGAAACUUAAAGGAAUUGGCGGGGAGCACAGCAACGGGUGGAGCGUGCGGUUU
rnacentral:rRNA from 1 species